UACGGAGGGGGCAAGCGUUGUUCGGAAUUACUGGGCGUAAAGGGCGCGUAGGCGGCUAGAUGUGUCAAAGGUGAAAUCCCUCGGCUCAACUGAGGAACUGCCUUUGAAACUGUCUGGCUUGAGGCCGGGAGAGGGUAGCGGAAUUCCCAGUGUAGCGGUGAAAUGCGUAGAUAUUGGGAGGAACACCAGUGGCGAAGGCGGCUACCUGGACCGGUUCUGACGCUGAGGCGCGAAAGCGUGGGGAGCGAACAGG
rnacentral:rRNA from 1 species